AACGAACGCUGGCGGCGUGGAUAAGACAUGCAAGUCGAACGAUUAUCAUCGGGUAGCAAUAUUCGGUGGUGAGAGUAGCGCAAGGGUGCGUAACACGUGGGUAAUUUGCCGUGAAGUCUGGAAUAACUUGCUGAAAGGCGAGCUAAUACCGGAUGUGAUCGCCGGAGGGCAUCCUCUGGCACUUAAAGUCGGGGACCGCAAGGCCUGACGCUUCUCGAUAAGCCCGCGGCCUAUCAGCUAGUUGGUGAGGUAACGGCUUACCAAGGCUAAGACGGGUAGCUGGUCUGAGAGGACGACCAGCCACACUGGAACUGAGACACGGUCCAGACACCUACGGGUGGCAGCAGUCGAGAAUUUUUCUCAAUGGGGGAAACCCUGAAGGAGCGACGCCGCGUGGGGGAUGAAUGGCUUCGGCCCGUAAACCCCUGUCAUUUGCGAUCAAACCUUACGACCUAAUACGUCGUAAGCUGAUAGUAGCGGAAGAGGAAGGGACGGCUAACUCUGUGC
rnacentral:rRNA from 1 species